UGCAGAGCUUCAAUUACCUCAAUGACACUUAGGACUCAUCCCCAAGAAGUCUACUGUUUUUGCUCUCAUGAACCCAAAUCAUUUUUCAGAAUCAGAUCUGAAUGGCUAAGUGCCACUUGUGCUGCAGUGUGUCUGUCAGGUCUUCAGUAAGACUGCAGCUCUCUGCCUGGGAAUGAGCCAGGUUCUAUAUUCCAGACUCAUGCCCUUUGGGGUUUUCCUGGCUCAGAGACACACAGAAUGCAUCCUGGGGCUAUUUCUAAAAUUAUUACCUAUAAUUUCCAUUUCCAUCUGAGUCCUGUAAUUGGAGUGAUGCUAGUAAGGUGUCUGGCUUUUCAGAGAGGUACUCUAGAAGAAAGAGUCUAACAACAUUCUUAGAAUACGCUUUUAACUGUGUUUUAAAAUAUUUUAUGUUUUAUUACUCCACCACUGUGACCCAGUGAGUCAGAGGUUGGCUGUAUGGAUUUUGUUCUAACUUAGGAAAGGAAUUA